UACGUAGGUGGCAAGCGUUGUCCGGAUUUACUGGGCGUAAAGAGCGCGCAGGCGGUCGAUUUAGUCGCGUGUGAAAGCCCCCGGCUCAACUGGGGAGGGUCACGCGAUACUGAUCGACUCGAAGGCAGGAGAGGGUAGUGGAAUUCCCGGUGUAGUGGUGAAAUGCGUAGAUAUCGGGAGGAACACCAGUGGCGAAGGCGAGUCCCUGGACAGAUCCUGACGCUGAGGCACGAAAGCUAGGGGAGCAAACAGG
rnacentral:rRNA from 1 species